UACGUAGGGGGCAAGCGUUGUCCGGAUUUAUUGGGCGUAAAGAGCGUGUAGGCGGCCAGGUAGGUCUGCUGUGAAAACUCGAGGCUUAACCUCGAGAUGUCGGCGGAAACCAUCUGGCUAGAGUCCGGAAGAGGAGAGCGGAAUUCCUGGUGUAGCGGUGAAAUGCGUAGAUAUCGUAAGGAAGACCAGUGGCGAAGGCGGGUCUCUGGACAGUUCCUGACGCUGAGGCACGAAGGUCAGGGGAGCAAACGGG
rnacentral:rRNA from 1 species